rnacentral:rRNA from 1 species
GUAGGUGGCAAGCGUCGUCCGGAAUUAUUGGGCGUAAAGCGCGCGCAGGCGGUUCUUUAAGUCUGAUGUGAAAGCCCACGGGCUCAACCGUGGAGGGUCAUUGGAAACUGGAGAACUUGAGUACAGAAGAGGAAAGCGGAAUUCCACGUGUAGCGGUGAAAUGCGUAGAGAUGUGGAGGAACACCAGUGGCGAAGGCGGCUUUCUGGUCUGUAACUGACGCUGAGGCGCGAAAGCGUGGGGAGCAAACAGGAUUAGAUACCCUGGUAGUCCACGCCGUAAACGAUGAGUGCUAAGUGUUAGGGGGUUUCCGCCCCUUAGUGCUGCAGCUAACGCAUUAAGCACUCCGCCUGGGGAGUACGGCCGCAAAGGCUG